rnacentral:rRNA from 1 species
UACGGAGGGGGCUAGCGUUGCUCGGAAUCACUGGGCGUAAAGCGCACGUAGGCGGCCUCUUAAGUCAGGGGUGAAAUCCUGGAGCUCAACUCCAGAACUGCCUUUGAUACUGGGAGUCUUGAGUUCGGGAGAGGUGAGUGGAACUGCGAGUGUAGAGGUGAAAUUCGUAGAUAUUCGCAAGAACACCAGUGGCGAAGGCGGCUCACUGGCCCGAUACUGACGCUGAGGUGCGAAAGCGUGGGGAGCAAACAGG